rnacentral:lncRNA from 1 species
UUUUUAAUGGAGUUUAUAAGGUAGAUUUGAAAGAAUGUAUAUAUUUAGAACGGUAAUCAUGAUAUUACUGAUUUUAUGAGGGCAUUUACAAUUUUCAACUUUUGAAGGGUACCCGUGAAAUUACCCAUUUUGUUUAUAGUAAAAAUCGUACAGAACUUAUUUGAGUUAUAGAUAAUUUUAAAUCGGCUAUUCAAUCUUCUAAAAUUUUAAUUUUUUUAUCCAACUUUUCAAUUUAUUUUUUUGAGUCAGUCGAAGAUACUUUGACUUUAAAUUUUAAACAAUAUGUAGUUGCUAGAAUUGUAUGGAAUAUUAUAACUAAAUCUGUAAAAAUAAACGACAUGUUUACUUUUUUAAGUCAAAGUGAAUAGAUGGAUUCAAAUCAAACAAAUUAAAAAGUUAGAUGGUAAAAUCAAAAUGUUAAAAGAUUAUAGUGAAUUGCAGAUAUAUUUCUGUAAAGUUCAACUUUCAUACAUUAUCCUUGCAAAAAUUCUAAUGUUUUCAGAUAUAUCUCUGCCGUUAGAAUUCGUUAAAAAAAUUUAGUUAACCAUAGAUUAAAUACUUUAUCCGGAUUAAUUUUUGACAUUUUUACUCUUCUUAUAUUAUACUGUUAUAACUUUUGGAGGGACAUAUUUAUGAUGGAAAAAUUAAAAAUAUAAACAGUUUUCUAAUGGUUCUCUAACGGUAACAAACCAGAGGAAUAUAUUUAAAAAUAUUAGGACUUUUACAGAAAUAACUUAUAAAAGUUGAAUUUUACCGAAAGAUAUUUAUAAUUCACUAUAUUUACGGAGACCUGAAUGUAAUUAACCCUUUAGAUAAAUUCCUUGUAUUUUUAUUUUUCUU